GACAGAGGAUGCAAGCGUUAUCCGGAAUGAUUGGGCGUAAAGCGUCUGUAGGUGGCUUUUUAAGUCCACCGUUAAAUCCCAGGGCUCAACCCUGGACAAGCGGUGGAAACUACUAAGCUGGAGUACGGUAGGGGCAGAGGGAAUUUCCGGUGGAGCGGUGAAAUGCGUAGAGAUCGGCAAGAACACCAACGGCGAAAGCGCUCUGCUGGGCCGACACUGACACUGAGAGACGAAAGCUAGGGGAGCGAAUGGG
rnacentral:rRNA from 1 species